UCAAAUAAGUUUUAGUCAUUCCCUAAACCUAGAUUAAAAUCAAGAAUCAGAGAGUAUUUAUAUAUCACACAGACGGUAUACAGUCUCAAUAUAUUUCCGGUUCUAUUGCAUCAGGAGCAGAAGAAAAACCCUGUAGCUAUCGAUCACAACAACAACCACGCAGCCAAAAUUGAUUUGUGGUCGGACUGGGACGAUGAAUUAGACCUCAAUGAGCCACUGCCUGAUGGCACCUGGGGAGGAUUCAGACCCUCACCGGACAAAAACACACUGACGGCGAUUCUACAUCCUCCAGACAAGAGCACACAACAGACUCCCUGCAAAGAACAAAAUCGUGAGAAUAGUAAUGAAGCUUUGAAACCGCUACCGUAUCUGCAGGCCAGUAGUGACUCACAUCAGAAGCUGAACAUCCAGAAGGAGCCCUAUGGACAGGGUUCUAAUUUUUACACAUUUGAAAACGAGGACAAACACCGGUCUACUGCCUCAUUAAAUGCAACUCAAAUCUUUCAAAAUGCAAGCCAGAUUCCCUCCAAAAAACGCAAACGUGAAGAUAACGACAUGGAUGAGCUCAUUAAACCUCCAUCAAAGAGAAUUAGAUUGUUGGAAGACUAGAUAAAUUGUGGUUAGAUUGGGAUGAUAAAUUGGAUCUCACUGAGCUGCUGUUGGACUACCUGGGGAGAACUUGAACCACUGUCAGACCAUUAAAGCAGUGAUUGGUUCAUCUGCCCAGCAUUGACUGUGAUACUUAUAACAUACCAACCUUUUUGUAAAACAUUUAACACUAUUUUACUUUAUUCUUUCAUAAUACAGGCCAUCUAUUUAUAAAUAUGUAUUUUGUAAUUUUACAGAUGUUUUUAAUAAAUUUACAUAAAAAGUUUC